rnacentral:rRNA from 1 species
GGAAUCUUCCACAAUGGGCGCAAGCCUGAUGGAGCAACACCGCGUGAGUGAAGAAGGGUUUCGGCUCGUAAAGCUCUGUUGUUAGAGAAGAACGUGCGUGAGAGUAACUGUUCACGCAGUGACGGUAUCUAACCAGAAAGUCACGGCUAACUACGUGCCAGCAGCCGCGGUAAUACGUAGGUGGCAAGCGUUAUCCGGAUUUAUUGGGCGUAAAGCGAGCGCAGGCGGUUUGAUAAGUCUGAUGUGAAAGCCUUUGGCUUAACCAAAGAAGUGCAUCGGAAACUGGGAAACUUGAGUGCAGAAGAGGACAGUGGAACUCCAUGUGUAGCGGUGAAAUGCGUAGAUAUCAGGAGGAACACCGGAGGCGAAGGCGGCUUACUGGACUGUAACUGACGUUGAGGCUCGAAGGCGUGGGGAGCAAACA